GAGUUUGAUCAUGGCUCAGGAUGAACGCUAGCGGCAGGCUUAAUACAUGCAAGACGAACGGUAACUGGAGUAGCAAUACUUUAGCAAGAGUGUCGUACGGGUGCGUAACACGUAUGCAACCUACCUUGUACAGGAGGAUAGCUCGGGGAAACUCGAAUUAACCCUCCAUAAAAUCAUGGAAUGGCAUCAUUAAAUGAUUAAAAUCUUCGGGUGGUACAAGAUGGGCAUGCGUCUGAUUAGCUAGUUGGUGAGGUAACGGCUCACCAAGGCGAUGAUCAGUAGGGGACCUGAGAGGGUGAUCCCCCACACUGGCACUGAGAUACGGGCCAGACUCCUACGGGAGGCAGCAGUAGGGAAUAUUGGACAAUGGGUGAGAGCCUGAUCCAGCCAUGCCGCGUGCAGGAAGAAGGCGUUAUGCGUUGUAAACUGCUUUUAGCCAGGGGAUAAACACUCCUACGUGUAGGAGCUUGACGGUACCGUAAGAAUAAGGAUCGGCUAGCUCCGU
rnacentral:rRNA from 1 species